AUCUUUCUAGUAUUAAUAAGUACAGCUGACUUCCAAUCAACUAGUUCUGGUUUACCCCAGAGAAAGAUA
rnacentral:tRNA from 1 species